rnacentral:rRNA from 1 species
CCUACGGGUGGCAGCAGUGAGGAAUAUUGGUCAGUGGGCGAGAGCCUGAACCAGCCAAGCCGCGUGAAGGAUGACGGCCCUACGGGUUGUAAACUUCUUUUGUCAGGGAGCAAUUGAGUCCACGUGUGGUCUUAGCGAGAGUACCUGAAGAAAAAGCAUCGGCUAACUCCGUGCCAGCAGCCGCGGUAAUACGGGGGAUGCGAGCGUUAUCCGGAUUUAUUGGGUUUAAAGGGUGCGUAGCCGGAAUAUGAAGUCAGCGGUAACAAUUCGGGGCUCAACCCCGUCGUGCCGUUGAAACUGAUGGUCUUGAGUGGGCGAGAAGUAUGCGGAAUGCGUGGUGUAGCGGUGAAAUGCAUAGAUAUCACGCAGAACUCCGAUUGCGAAGGCAGCAUACCGGCGCCCAACUGACGCUGAGGCACGAAAGCGUGGGUAUCGAACAGGAUUAGAUACCCGAGUAGUC